CCUACGGGAGGCAGCAGUGAGGAAUAUUGGUCAAUGGACGAGAGUCUGAACCAGCAAAGUAGCGUGAAGGAUGACUGCCCUAUGGGUUGUAAACUUCUUUUAUAUGGGAAUAAAAUGUUCCACGUGUGGGAUUUUGUAUGUACCAUAUGAAUACGGAUCGGCUAACUCCGUUCCAGCAGCCGCGGUAAUACGGAGGAUCCGAGCGUUAUCCGGAUUUAUUGGGUUUAAAGGGAGCGUAGGUGGAUUGUUAAGUCAGUUGUGAAAGUUUGCGGCUCAACCGUAAAAUUGCAGUUGAUACUGGCAGUCUUGAGUACAGUAGAGGUGGGCGGAAUUCGUGGUGUAGCGGUGAAAUGCUUAGAUAUCACGAAGAACUCCGAUUGCGAAGGCAGUUCACUGGACUGCAACUGACACUGAGGCUCGAAAGUGUGGGUAUCAAACAGGAUUAGAUACCCGAGUAGUC
rnacentral:rRNA from 1 species